AAUACGUUCCCGGGCCUUGUACACACCGCACGUCAAGCCAUGGAAGCUGGGGGUACCUGAAGUCGGUGACCGUAAGGAGCUGCCUAGGGUAAAACUAGUAACUGGGCU
rnacentral:rRNA from 1 species